CCAGACUUCAUAGAAUCAUUUCUAUAGUAAACGUCCUCUUCUGAGCUCUUCACACGAGCCACAGAAUCCUCAACCUGGCUGACGAGACAAAGCCCUCGGCACCCUAGAGUGAAGCCUUAUGUUUACUCUCGCCAGCUCUCGAGAAACCCAGAAUGGAAUUCGCGUUCUUUCUGCUUUCUCGAGACAGAGAGUGGUGAUGAUCUUUGACCUGCGUCCGGGGUUUCUGGCUUCGUGCCGCCCGGCGUGGGAGGUGCCGACGGGCUGAUUCUGACAGGC
rnacentral:snoRNA from 1 species